GAUGAACGCUGGCGGCGUGCCUAAUACAUGCAAGUCGAGCGAACGGACGAGAAGCUUGCUUCUCUGAUGUUAGCGGCGGACGGGUGAGUAACACGUGGAUAACCUACCUAUAAGACUGUGAUAACUUCGGGAAACCGGAGCUAAUACCGGAUAAUAUUUUGAACCGCAUGGUUCAAAAGUGAAAGACGGUCUUGCUGUCACUUAUAGAUGGAUCCGCGCUGCAUUAGCUAGUUGGUAAGGUAACGGCUUACCAAGGCAACGAUGCAUAGCCGACCUGAGAGGGUGAUCGGCCACACUGGAACUGAGACACGGUCCAGACUCCUACGGGAGGCAGCAGUAGGGAAUCUUCCGCAAUGGGCGAAAGCCUGACGGAGCAACGCCGCGUGAGUGAUGAAGGUCUUCGGAUCGUAAAACUCUGUUAUUAGGGAAGAAAAUAUGUGUAAGUAACUGUGCACAUCUUGACGGUACCUAAUCAGAAAGCCACGGCUAACUACGUG
rnacentral:rRNA from 1 species